AUACCGUGAUGAAGACAUCUCUUAAGUAACUUCUUGAAUAUUUCUCAUGCAUCAUACAAGCUUUCAUCUUCAAGUUGAUGGAAGAUUUGUCAGGCAAGUCA
rfam:Citrus clementina cultivar Clemenules unplaced genomic scaffold scaffold_2, whole genome shotgun sequence.